UUCCCCAAUAUCUUUCAUCAUAUUAUCCAGUCUGUUAUCCUAUGUGGAUCAAGCAUCCUACAAAUGCUUCUGUAUAUCCCACUUUGACAAGCAGGAAUUAAGGGAAGUCUGAAGAACCAAAUAAGAUUUUGAAGGAACAACAGAAUAUCGAUGGAAAUUCACUUGACUCUAUGAUACAUGUACAUGAAAAAUGAAUCUAAAAUUCCCAGAAUUCCUGUCCAGUCAUUAUAGCAUUAUGUUUAAUUAAUCUGCUCUCUACUUGAAU